UUGUAUUAAUAUUUGUUAACACAAAGAGUUAGAAAUCAAGUUUAGAAUCAUACCAAUUUGGGAGUUCGAGAUUGCCGGAUAGGUUGGAUUUUGUAGUAUACCUUCAUUUUAUUCUCUUUUAUUCUCUGACCCUCAAAACACCCAACCCGUCUUUAUAUCUUUUUUUGGGUAAAGACCCGUCUUUAUAUCUUUGUUUGUUACCCUGUUAACGUACCCAUCCACCGGACGGGUAUUAAACUAGUUACUAUAUGAUAGUAACAAAACUGAAUGAACAGUGUAAAAGGUCAUUCUCGUCAUUUCGUUUUAUAACCAGCUUAAAGGCAGACAAGAGAGAGAAAGAACACCGUCAAAGAGCCCGCCGUUAGAGAGAGAAAGAUGUGUCUGAGAAAGAGAGAGCGCGCAGAGAAAGAGGCCGAUGAUGACGGUCUGAUGGUGUUACAACCUGCUCGCCGGCGUCAACAACACUCGAAGAUGACGUUCUGAUCAUUAUGGUGGCGGUAGUCUCUGGUGUGCAGAGUAGGGUUUGUGACGGUAUGAUUGUCGUGGUCUUUGGUGGCGGCAAACAUGGCUUGAACUCUCCGGUGAUGCCCGUAACGGUCCGGCGAACCUAGGGUUCCGUCAUGACCUCAUAUGGCGGCGGCGUUGAUGGUGUUCUGAGUAACCAGCACCAAUGGUUAACGGAUUCAACGGGGAUGAAUACGACUGCCAUACGAGUUAGUUCCGACAUAUUUUCCGGAGUUUAAGCGACGGAGAGAAGAUGCUAGGGUUCCGGUGAAGGUCCGGCAAAGUUUCGGUACCCUGAUUCAGAUUAACCGUAGGUGCUCUGCUGACCGAUUUAGAGUCUCUGGCGAGUUCCACACCAGUGUAGAUCGAUAACCACAAAGCAAACAUGGAUCAGCUGACACACCAAAUGGAGGCCGAAAUUGAAGAUAUAUAUGAUGAUUUGAAACACCUAUCACAAAGAAAAUAAGGUUAAGCUGAUAACCAAAAUGAAUUACAUACAGAUUGUCGAUAUUGUGAGUAAAUGUUAUUGACACAAAUCUCAUUUGAUGGUUCAUUAGUUCUUGGCCAAAAAGGGGUGGGUCAAUUGAUCAAGAUGGCUACCGAGAAGGGCCGUGCGGCCAAUCCAAAUUUAAAGGUGGGUAGUGAGCACGGGUCACAUUACGUUAUUGUGUUCAUGCGGUAAAGUGACGAUAUGGACGUGUUGAAUAAUUAGUUAAGAUAGAUGUUUACUUACGAUUUACAAGUAAAUUUUUUAAGUAAAAUGAUCUACCAGAUUUUGAGCAUUCUGAAUAAACUUUGGUUACUAUACGUGGACUGGCUGGUAAGAAUCAAGAAUGAACCGGUGAUUGAUUUUGGAGAAGUCAUUGUGAUGCCUGGUAGAUAUGUAUUUGUAAGUUUUGUAUGCUUUGUGUGUUGUACCUUCUGCUUUAUAGGUGGUACAACCGGCUUUGCUCUUUCAAAGAGAUGAGAGGGAGUGACGGUUGCCGGCUAUGGCCUCCGACUGACUGUUCUAUAGUCUAUUAUUUAGAAGAAAGUUAAACAAUGGCUUUCUUCUAACAUAUGACAGAAUAGGAAUAGGGUUUAGACAGAGGAGUAAGAGAGAGAGACAGAUUAGAGGUGGAGAAGGAUCGGAGCCGUCGUCUCCAGCUGGCCACCCUCUUGGCAGUGAUGAUGAUCGGCGGCUUUUGACGCGGAAAACGGUAGAGAGAGCAGCGGUGGACGGAGAGAGAGGAGCGGCGGUGAUGGAAAAACCGGCCAUGCCUCCGACCGGACACCCAUGGUGGUGGUUGAGGCCUUGAGGGUGACCGUGACGGCUGUGGCUUCUAGGAUUCGCUUGACAUUCUGGUGGAUUCCCAAGCCUAAAAGACCAGUGUGAGUCACAGAACCCGGAAUAUGGCCAGCCAGAGGCAUGGAGGGAGGAGAUGGAGGAGUUGCCGGCGGGAGAAUGGGAAUUACGGAAAUGCCUAUGGUGACCGUCCGUCGCGUUCUUUAUAAGGUUCGAUUUUUUUCGUUUAGGUAUUAUUAUUUGUGCUUGAUUUGUGAAUUAGUUUGGUAUAUAUACUCAUCUAACGAGUAUGUGAUGCUGCUCUAACAACUUUGAGAGAAUGAGGUUACAUGUAUGCUUUCUAACUAUUCAUCAUCAGACCUUCAAAUCGCUCCACUGAUCUUUGGUUUAGUCUGACAUGAUGGUUUUUGUUGGUGUAUUUGAAGUAACCAUAUGGUCGACUUGAUUCGCCACAUGGUAAAGUUUUGAAGUUGUUAUGGCACGAGUUAGCGGGCUUGUCACGAGCACAGUUUUGCCUACCACGUUGUGAUUAUCAACAUCGAUUAAGAAAUUUGCAGGGCUUACAAGUGGUACUUGCAGUUCAGAGAAGAAUACCAGGUUCCAUUUGAUGGAGGAAUAUGACAAGAAACAGAUGUAUUCAAAGCUUUAGCUCUUGGUGCGAAGCGGUUAUGGUUGGGCGAGCGGUUGUGUGUGGCUUAACAACAAAGGGUGAGUAUGGAGUAAAAACAGUGAUCGAGAUGUUGAAGGAUGAACUAGAGUUCACAAUGGCUCUUUCCGGCUGCCCUACUCUCAACGGUGUUACCGCGAACCAUAUCAGAACUUAGGUCGGUAAUCGUCAUUGUAGUUUGUAGUUUUAAAUCAUCUUAUGAAGAAUCAUUUGAUAUUGGUUUUUAUAAUCCAGAAUAAUAAAAUUAAAGGUACUAAUGAAUCUACACUACAUUUGAUUUGUAUUGGAAAUUAAAAAAUACUUGCUUUGUUCAAAAGUAUUGCACUUCAAUAUUUUCUAGCUGGAUUUUCAUCUACAGGUUCUUUAUAUUUGAUAAUAAAUGAAGAAAGUCAAAUUGAGUUGAGGGAUAAGGCUGCAGAGAUAAGUUUCAGUUCUGUUUUUAUGUUUAUUUUAUUUUAUUUUUGAGUUUGCAUUUGAUGGUGUCAUGAAUUGGUACCGACGUAAACGUUGGUUGUUGCUUGGUGAUUAUUUACAUGUAAAUGUUGGUUUUGAGAAGGUGCUGAAACGAAGGAGCCAAUAACUGUGGAAGAAAAGCAACACAACGGCCUAUGGUCAAUGACAGCAACGGAAAGAUUUUCAUUUUUAACAUACAUGUGCGAUUUAUUAACGAAUAAUCUAAGAUACACUUGCGAGUGAAACCAACUAUUGUAGCUGCUAAACAUAUGCCGGAUACAACAGGUUCAUAUGGCGCGCCCAACCAACUAUUGUAGCUGCUUAACAAAUGCCGGAUGCAGCAGAAGUAUAUGAUACCAAAGUGUAAUUGUUCCUUUGACAAUAUUGUAUAUGUAUGUCUUAUGGAUCAAGUUUUUGGUUUUUUAAGUAGAACGAAGUGAUCUUUAUAUCCAUAUACAUUAUUUCGCUUUAAUGUGACAAAGUUGUUUUGAUU